UGGUUUCUAAAUCUUAUUCAGUGAGCACAUGUUCCUUUUUUUUAAUUAGAGAAAACAUGACAGUAGCCCCUUUUUGUGUUUCACAGAGGAACUAACAUUCCUUCUGUAUCUGUAGUUCAUGCGGGAGAUGGCAGGGGCCUGGCACAUGACGGUGGAGCAGAAAUUUGGCCUGUUUUCUGCUGAGAUAAAGGAAGCAGACCCCCUGGCUGCCUCGGAAGCAAGUCAACCCAAACCCUGUCCCCCUGAAGUGACCCCCCACUACAUCUGGAUCGACUUCCUGGUGCAGCGGUUUGAGAUCGCCAAGUACUGCAGCUCUGACCAAGUGGAGAUCUUCUCCAGCCUGCUGCAGCGCUCCAUGUCCCUGAACAUCGGCGGGGCCAAGGGAAGCAUGAACCGGCACGUGGCGGCCAUCGGGCCCCGCUUCAAGCUGCUGACCCUGGGGCUGUCCCUCCUGCAUGCCGACGUGGUUCCAAAUGCAACCAUCCGCAAUGUGCUUCGCGAGAAGAUCUACUCCACUGCCUUUGACUACUUCAGCUGUCCCCCAAAGUUCCCUACUCAAGGAGAGAAGCGACUGCGUGAAGACAUAAGCAUCAUGAUUAAAUUUUGGACUGCCAUGUUCUCAGAUAAGAAGUACCUGACCGCCAGCCAGCUUGUUCCCCCAGAUAAUCAGGACACCCGCAGCAACCUGGACAUAACUGUUGGCUCUCGGCAACAAGCCACCCAAGGCUGGAUCAACACAUACCCCCUGUCCAGCGGCAUGUCCACCAUCUCCAAGAAGUCAGGCAUGUCUAAGAAAACCAACCGGGGCUCCCAGCUGCACAAAUACUACAUGAAGCGCAGGACGCUGCUGCUGUCCCUGCUGGCCACCGAGAUUGAGCGUCUCAUCACAUGGUACAACCCGCUGUCAGCCCCGGAACUGGAGCUAGACCAGGCCGGAGAGAACAGCGUGGCCAACUGGAGAUCUAAGUACAUCAGCCUGAGUGAGAAGCAGUGGAAGGACAAUGUGAACCUCGCCUGGAGCAUCUCUCCCUACCUGGCCGUGCAGCUGCCUGCCAGGUUUAAGAACACAGAAGCCAUCGGGAACGAAGUGACCCGUCUUGUUCGGUUGGACCCGGGAGCCGUUAGUGAUGUGCCUGAAGCGAUCAAGUUCCUGGUCACCUGGCACACCAUCGACGCCGAUGCUCCAGAGCUCAGCCAUGUGCUGUGCUGGGCGCCCACGGACCCACCCACGGGCCUCUCCUACUUCUCCAGCAUGUAUCCACCGCACCCUCUCACGGCGCAGUACGGGGUGAAAGUCCUGCGGUCGUUCCCUCCGGACGCCAUCCUCUUCUACAUCCCCCAGAUUGUGCAGGCCCUCAGGUACGACAAGAUGGGCUAUGUGCGGGAGUAUAUUCUGUGGGCAGCGUCUAAAUCCCAGCUUCUGGCGCACCAGUUCAUCUGGAACAUGAAGACUAACAUUUAUCUAGAUGAAGAGGGCCACCAGAAAGACCCUGACAUCGGCGACCUCCUGGAGCAGUUAGUAGAGGAGAUCACAGGCUCCUUGUCGGGCCCAGCGAAGGACUUUUACCAGCGGGAGUUUGAUUUCUUUAACAAGAUCACCAACGUGUCGGCUAUCAUCAAGCCCUACCCUAAAGGCGACGAGAGAAAGAAGGCUUGUCUGUCAGCCCUGUCUGAAGUGAAGGUGCAGCCGGGCUGCUACCUGCCCAGCAACCCCGAGGCCAUCGUGCUGGACAUCGACUACAAGUCUGGGACCCCGAUGCAGAGUGCUGCAAAAGCCCCAUAUCUGGCCAAGUUCAAGGUGAAGCGAUGUGGAGUUAGUGAACUUGAAAAAGAAGGUCUGCGGUGCUGCUCAGACUCCGAGGAUGAGUGCAGCACGCAGGAGGCUGACGGCCAGAAGAUCUCCUGGCAGGCAGCCAUCUUCAAAGUGGGAGAUGACUGCCGGCAGGACAUGCUGGCCCUGCAGAUCAUCGACCUCUUCAAGAACAUCUUCCAGCUGGUCGGCCUGGACCUCUUUGUUUUUCCCUACCGCGUGGUGGCCACUGCCCCUGGGUGCGGGGUGAUCGAGUGCAUCCCCGACUGCACCUCCCGGGACCAGCUGGGCCGCCAGACAGACUUCGGCAUGUACGACUACUUCACACGCCAGUACGGGGAUGAGUCCACCCUGGCCUUCCAGCAGGCCCGCUACAACUUCAUCCGAAGCAUGGCCGCCUACAGCCUCCUGCUGUUCCUGCUGCAGAUCAAGGAUAGACACAAUGGCAACAUUAUGCUGGACAAGAAGGGCCAUAUCAUCCACAUCGACUUUGGCUUCAUGUUUGAAAGCUCGCCGGGCGGCAAUCUCGGCUGGGAACCCGACAUCAAGCUGACGGAUGAGAUGGUGAUGAUCAUGGGGGGCAAGAUGGAGGCGACGCCCUUCAAGUGGUUCAUGGAGAUGUGUGUCCGAGGCUACCUGGCUGUGCGGCCCUACAUGGACGCGGUCGUCUCCCUGGUCACUCUCAUGUUGGACACGGGCCUGCCCUGUUUUCGUGGCCAGACAAUCAAGCUCUUGAAGCACAGGUUUAGCCCCAACAUGACCGAGCGCGAGGCUGCAAAUUUCAUCAUGAAGGUCAUCCAGAGCUGCUUCCUCAGCAACAGGAGCCGGACCUACGACAUGAUCCAGUACUAUCAGAAUGACAUCCCCUACUGAGGAGGGGACCUCCGAGGCCCUCCGCCCCAUGUGCCCUCGAAGCUGCCCCACAAUCAUGGAGCCCUGUGACCUCCCCAUCCUGCCGCCACAUGCCAUGGAGAGGCCUGUGGCCCGAAGAGCCUGGUAGCGCCUCCUGGGGCAGCACGUGGGUGGCGCAGCCUUGGUAACGCCAUGGACUGCAGCGACAAUCAUUGGAUGGUGCUGUCUAUGCACGGGUGUGAGUCCUCUGUUUGCACUGGACAUAUUCCCUACCUGUCUUAUUUCAUAGGUACAUGAAGUAUUUUCUUGUGUAUAAAAAAAGAUAUAAGAUUUAACCAACAUCAACAAAAUAAAAACCCAAAAUAGU
rnacentral:sRNA from 1 species